CCUACGGGAGGCUGCAGUGAGGAAUAUUGGUCAAUGGCCGCAGGGCUGAACCAGCCAAGUCGCGUGAGGGAAGACGGUCCCAUGGAUUGUAAACCCUUUUUGUCAGGGAGCAAAGGGCGCUACGUGUGGCGCUUUGCGAGUACCUGAACAAAAAGCCACGGCAAACUCUGUGCCAGCAGCCGCGGUAAUACGGAGGAUGCGAGCGUUAUCCGGAUUUAUGGGGUUAAAGGGGUGCGCAGGCGGAAUGUAAAGUCAGCGGGAAAAUUUCGGGGCUCAACCCCGUCGUGCCGUUGAAACUGGGUUUCUUGAGUGAGCGAGAAGUAUGCGGAAUGCGUGGUGUAGCGGUGAAAUGCAUAGAUAUCACGCAGAACUCCGAUUGCGAAGGCAGCAUACCGGCGCUCAACUGACGCUCAUGCACGAAGGCGUGGGUAUCGAACAGGAUUAGAUACCCGGGUAGUC
rnacentral:rRNA from 1 species